rnacentral:tRNA from 1 species
AAUUCAAAUAGUUUAAAAAAAAUAUUGAUUUGUGGAAUCAGAGAUAUAUGUAUAUAUAUAUUGAAU